rnacentral:sRNA from 1 species
UGAAAUAAAUCGUUUCAAUUUUUGCAUAAUGGUC